GCAAGUCGAACGAGAUCCUUCGGGGUCUAGUGGCGCACGGGUGCGUAACGCGUGGGAAUCUGCCUUUCGGUACGGAAUAACCCAGGGAAACUUGUGCUAAUACCGUAUGACGUCGCGAGACCAAAGAUUUAUCGCCGAAAGAUGAGCCCGCGUAGGAUUAGCUAGUUGGUGGGGUAAAGGCCUACCAAGGCGACGAUCCUUAGCUGGUCUGAGAGGAUGAUCAGCCACACUGGGACUGAGACACGGCCCAGACUCCUACGGGAGGCAGCAGUGGGGAAUAUUGGACAAUGGGCGAAAGCCUGAUCCAGCAAUGCCGCGUGAGUGAUGAAGGCCUUAGGGUUGUAAAGCUCUUUUACCCGGGAUGAUAAUGACAGUACCGGGAGAAUAAGCCCCGGCUAACUCCGUGCCAGCAGCCGCGGUAAUACGGAGGGGGCUAGCGUUGUUCGGAAUUACUGGGCGUAAAGCGUACGUAGGCGGUGACUCAAGUCAGAGGUGAAAGCCCGGGGCUCAACUCCGGAAUUGCCUUUGAAACUAGGUCGCUUGAACGUCGGAGAGGUGAGUGGAAUUCCGAGUGUAGAGGUGAAAUUCGUAGAUAUUCGGAAGAACACCAGUGGCGAAGGCGGCUCACUGGACGACUGUUGACGCUGAGGUACGAAAGCGUGGGG
rnacentral:rRNA from 1 species